ACUCGAGUGGCGAACGGGUGAGUAACACGUGGGUGAUCUGCCCUGCACUUCGGGAUAAGCCUGGGAAACUGGGUCUAAUACCGGAUAGGAGCCAUUUUUAGUGUGAUGGUUGGAAAGUUUUUCGGUGUAGGAUGAGCCCGUGGCCUAUCAGCUUGUUGGUGGGGUAAUGGCCUACCAAGGCGGCGACGGGUAGCCGGACUGAGAGGUUGGUCGGCCACAUUGGGACUGAGAUACGGCCCAG
rnacentral:rRNA from 1 species